rnacentral:rRNA from 1 species
GAUGAACGCUGGCGGCGUGCUUAACACAUGCCAGUCGAACGGUGAACACGGAGCUUGCUCUGUGGGAUCAGUGGCGAACGGGUGAGUAACACGUGAGCAACCUGCCCCUGACUCUGGGAUAAGCGCUGGAAACGGCGUCUAAUACUGGAUAUGUGACGUGACCGCAUGGUCUGCGUUUGGAAAGAUUUUUCGGUUGGGGAUGGGCUCGCGGCCUAUCAGCUUGUUGGUGAGGUAAUGGCUCACCAAGGCGUCGACGGGUAGCCGGCCUGAGAGGGUGACCGGCCACACUGGGAUUGAGACACGGCCCAGACUCCUACGGGAGGCAGCAGUGGGGAAUAUUGCACAAUGGGCGAAAGCCUGAUGCAGCAACGCCGCGUGAGGGAUGACGGCCUUCGGGUGGUAAACCUUUUUUAGCAGGGAAGAAGCGAAAGUGACGGUACCUGCAGAAAAAGCGCCGGCGAAAUACGU